rnacentral:rRNA from 1 species
UGGUGGAGUGAUUUGUCUGGUUAAUUCCGAUAACGAACGAGACCUUAUCCUGCUAAAUAGCCAGGCUGGCUUUUUGCUGGUUGCCGGCUUCUUAGAGGGACUGCGGUAGCGUCUAGCCCGCGGAAGUUUGAGGCAAUAACA